CCUCUCUCAGUUCUGCAUAGUCACCCUUAGUCUCACCCGCAUGACUUCCUUGAAGGGGAGAGAGAGUAAAGAUCCCCUGGGGACCCUGGAGUGGCCUCACGUAACCUUUCUUUAUAAAAAAUUU
rfam:Tupaia chinensis contig24248, whole genome shotgun sequence.